rnacentral:tRNA from 1 species
GCGGGUGUAGCUCAAUGGUAGAGCGCCUGCCUUCCAAGCAGGACACGAGGGUUCGAUUCCCUUCACCCGCU